AAGAAUACCACAAAAAAUAUAUUUUUUUUCUCAUCUUGGUGCUCUGCUAGGGUUUUCCUCUCUUAGCUUUGCCCCUAUCAAAGGGUUUGAAUCUGGUCUGAGUGACCUGGUUGGUGGAGUUCGUUGAUUGUUUCUCUGGCGUUCUUUGGCUUUGGUGUUCCGUGGUUUGCAAGGUGGGAGCUCUGUUUCUUCUUCUCCAACGACGACUGCAUUUUCUUGAAGAUUGGGGAUCGAUUUGCUUCCCUUAUUCUCCAGGUGCCUCAAAGGGCUUUCUUGUCUGAACUCGACUGCGUCUCCAAGGUUUGGGUGUUCUCUAUUUUAGGGUGUUCUUCUGGGUGGUUUGGCUCUGUUGGAUUUCUCUGUGUUGCAGACUCGUUGGUGGUAGGGACAGUCUGUUCUUGGGUGAUUUCAAGGAAAUUGGGCCCAUUUUUCUGGGUUCGUUUCGGUUCUCAAACUCUUCUUUGACCGAUUCGUUUUUUUGUUUCUUGGGCUAUCUAUGGCGAAUUCAAGCCUUUCUUUGAAAGAAAUUGAAGAAAGGUGUGUGAAACUCCAUCUGGAUGAUGAAUAACAAGGAGGAUUAUACUAUGAAACAGUUUGAACCCUUGGGAUUUCCAAGUGAUGCAGCAUAUGAUGGUUGCUUGGUGGAAGCUAGGGAACAGUCUGUACAUUAAAGAGUUGGAAAGCAAUCUGUAUAUCUUUCAAUUCUAUCAUGAAGUAUAUAUUAAGUUGGUGAUAGAGGGUAGCCCUUGGACUUGCAACAAAGCACAGUUGAUCUUUGAAAGGCUUAAACCAGGGGACAAUCUGAGAGUUGUGAAGCUCCAUCGUUUGGACAUAUGGGUUCAGCUACUUGGGCUACAUCCUGGGUUCAUGGUUGAACGGGUUGUGAGAGAUAUUGGCAAUCAUGUGGGGAAGUUCCUUGAGUCAGACCCAAAUAACUUCAAUAGGGUUUGAAGAGACUAUCUCAGAAUCUGGGUUUCCUUGGACAUUGAUAUUCCUUUGAAGCGCAAGAUGAAGAUUAGUCAUUCUAAUGGAGAUUGGUUUUGGGUGAGUUUCAAGUAUGAAAGGAUACAAACCUUCUGCUUUAUCUGUGGUAUCAUCGUUCACUCUGAGAAAUUCUGUCCUAAACCGUUUGAUAUUCCACUCGACUUAAUUGAGAAGCCGUAUGGUUUGUGGAUGAGGGCAGUUUCGAGAAGGCAACAACUUUUGAUUGGGGCUAAGUGGAUGAGACAAGGCGGCAGUGAUGACACUCCAUCGGCAGAUUCCAUUGAACAUAAACAACAGGAGGGCAGGACUACUACCUCAUUUAACCAGGAGUUGGAGGGAGUUGGUCAACAAUCUCAAGGGGCAGAUGGGGCAGAGCUGGUGGUUUAUGAGACCAAAAGGCGACGAAUUAGUGGGGAAUAUGAGACGAAGUUUAACAUAGACAUGGAUCUAGUUGCAAAUGGCAUCAAGGAGAUUGGCUCGUCACAUCUGACUAAGGCGGGUUCUGUUGCACAGACCCGCCAAGGAUGAUGAGUUUCAUUAGUUGGAAUUGCCAGGGGCUUGGGAACAGUCGGAAUGUUCAAUUCCUUAAAGAAAUUGUUUCUCAAAAGAAGCCCAAGUUUAUUUUCCUUUGUGAGAAUUAUUGCUAUCAAGACAAGUUCGAGAGGAUUCAGUACUCUUUGGGUUAUGAGGGGUUGUUUGUUGUCAAUCUCGAAGGGCGUAGAGGUGGGUUGGCAGGGCUUUGGCACCAUCAAGAUGACGGUUCUGUCAUUGGAAAUUCUACUAACCACAUUGACGUGAGUAUCAAAGUUGAUGGGAUGGCUCCUUGGUGACUCACUGGUUUCAAUGGUGAGCCGAAUAGAUCAACUUGUCGAAGAUCUUGGAAUUUGCUUCGUACUCUUUAUGAUAAAUCCCAGCUACCUUGGUGUAUUAUUGGAGACUUUAAUAACGUGUUGAAUCAAAGUGACAAACAAGGGGGGCGACCUUAUCCUGAUUGGUUGAUUGAGGGCUUCCAACAAGUUCUUAUGGAUUGCAAUCUUGUUAAUUUGGAGCUUCUAGGCUAUCCUUUCACUUGGGAAAGAGGGCGUGGAACCCUGGAUUGGAUUGAAGUUAGACUCGAUCGGGCUCUUGUCUCCCAAAGCUAGUUGUCUUUAUUCUCGGAUGCCCAACUAUACAACAUGGAGAUUUCUACUUCCGACCACUUUCCUCUCUUCCUUAAUCCAGUUCCCAGCACUAUUAUUCAUGUUUCCAAGCUCUUUUGCUUUGAAAAUGCUUGGAUGAGAGAGCCAUUAUGCUCUCAAAUUGUUGGCAAUAGUUAGAAGUCGUGUGCUGCUCUGUCUUGGGAGAAAAAACAUGAUCACUGCAGCCAAGCUCUCUCUAUGUGGCAGGGAAUCACAGGAUACUUCACUCACCGACUGAAGAAGUGUAACAUUGAGAUUCAGAAAUGGAAGAGCAGUAACGAGGAAGGGUCUCACGCUCGCUACAAAGCUGCCGAGGAAAAUCUUGUUGAGAUUUUAAGUCAAAAAGAGAUCUAUUGGCAUCAAAUGUCCAAACAGUUAUGGCCUAAAGCGAGAGAUUUGAAUAGCAAGUAUUUUCAUGCCACUACAUCAGUUAGGAAAAGGAACAAUAUGACUCAUAAGCUGAAGAAGGAAGAUGGCAGCUGGGAUGACUGGAAUCAUGGCUUGGCUGAGCACAUAUUUGAUUACUAUUUUCAUCUUUUUCAGGCAGAUUGUACUGAUUGGCAAGCAGUUGUGGACCUGGUUCCCUUGAUUAUUAAUGAUGAUUAAAAUGACAGCCUCCUUCGGCCUAUCACUUUAGAGGAGCUCAAAGUGGCUGCUUUCCAAAUGAACCCCGACCAGGCACCAAGACCAGAUGGUCUAACUCUAGCAUUUUUUUUUUAAAAUUUGGAAUGUUGUGUGCACUGAUGUUCUGAAAUUUGCCCAGGAUUUUUUUGCUUCAGGUGAGCUUCCAUAUCAUUUCAAUGAAACUCACUUGGCUCUCAUCCCUAAGAAGAAAGGCCCUACUUCCCUUGGUGUUCUUCAACCUAUUUUCCUGUGCAAUGUUAUUUACAAAAUUUUGUCUAAAACUUUGGUUAAAUGUCUGAAAGAGGGCGUGGGUCGUUGUAUCUCGGACACGCAGAGUGCUUUCUUUCCUGGUCGUUUGAUUUCUGACAACAUUAUGGUCUCCUUUGAGCUUCUUCACUAUCUUAAAAGGAAGUCUAGAGGUAAAAAGGGGUAUAUGGCGCUGCAACUUGAUUUAAGCAAAGCUUAUGACAGGGUUAAUUGGCAGUAUUUAGAGGCUUUGUUAUCUAAAAUGGGUUCUCAUAGUAGAUGGGUUCAUCUCCUCAUUGCUUGUUUUAACUCAGUUUCUUAUACUGUUGCUGUCAGUGGCAAGUUUAUAGGUCCUUUGUUGCCUACUAGGGGAAUUCAUCAGGGAGAUCCACUUUCUCCUUACCCUUUUCUGAUUUGUACUAAAGGUUUUUCCUCUCUUGAGAAACUUUGAGAGUAAGGGUUGGAAUCAUGGUUGUAAAGUUGCUUGAAGUACCCCAGCUGUGUCUCACAUGCUUUUUGCGGAUGAUAGUUACAUUUAUUGUAAAGCUGAUUUAGGAAGCGGAGAAUUUUAAAAGGCGGCUGCACUCGUUUGACAAAGCUUUGGGUCAGAAGGAGCUGGGAUUGCCUGAAGCUACUGCUGACUCUACUUAUUUGGGUCUUCCUAGCCUCAUUGGGAGGAACAAAACUGCUAUUUUGGGGUUCCUCAAAGAUAAAGUUAGGCAAAGAGUGCAAAUCUGGGAUGGGAAACUCCUCUCUAGGGCUGGGAAGGAUGUUCUUAUCAAAUCCAUUGCUCAGUCUCUCCCCACUUAUGCAAUGAGUGUCUUCCUCCUUCCUCUGAGUAUUUGUGAGGAUUUGGAGAGACUUAUGUGUAACUUUUGGUGGAAAUCUUCUAACAACCAUGGUAGAGGUAUUUCUUGGAUGCAUUGGGACAAGUUGUGCGUCCAUAAGCAUGGAGGUGAAAUGGGUUUUCUCCAUCUUCGGGAAUUCAACUUAGCCAUGCUUAGGAAGCAAGGUUUGAGUUUACUUAAUAGAGAAGAUUCUUUGGUUGCCAAGAUCUACAAAGCUCAUUACUAUCCUCAUAGUAAUUUUCUUGAUGCUCAUUUGGGCUGCAACCCAAGCUUUGUUUGGCAAAGUAUUUGGGAGUCUAGGAGUUUGAUUACCAGUGGCGCUCGAAGACAUUUUUGAUCGAGGAAUCACACUCUCAUUCUUGGUUAUCCUUGGCUGCUGGAUGAAGAUCACCCUUUUGUCAUCUCUAAGCAUCCGAAUUUACAGAAUAAGAGAGUUUUCUAGGUAAAGAGAACUGAUUCGUGAGUGGGAUGAGGAUGUGUUGGCUGACUUGUUCGAGGAUCAUGAUAGAACUUUGAUCAAGUCUAUUCCUAAUUGCCGGUCCUCUUCGAAUGACAACUGGUAUUGGGGGCAUGAAUUUUGGGUUGGUACUCAGUUAGUAGUGCUUAUCGGCUUCUCCAAAAGCUUCAUGGGCGCUGGGUGUCUGACAAUAAUUCGGGGUUUUGGAGGACGCUUUGGAACCUGAAAAUUCCACCAAAGGUGAAAAAAAAUUUGUGGCGGGCCAUAGCUGGUUGCCUCCCCACCAACUUGAACUUUAAGCUGCGUUUUGUUGAGGCGAGUCCCAUCUGUCCUUUGUGUUUGAAAGAUCCUGAAUCUACUUUCCAAGCUCUCUGUCUUUGUCCUUGUAGUAGGGAUUGUUGGUCUUUUUUUAGUAUUAGUUUGGAUGGAGUUGAUUGGCAGGACUUUGGCAACUGGAUUGAGUUUAUUUUUUCUCCAGGUAUUAGCAAGCGGACUCAUUUAAUUUGCAUGAUCAGUUGGUCCAAUUGGAAUGCCCGAAACAAUUUUGUGUGGAAUGAAUCUUGGCUGCCUGCCCACACUAUUGUCACAUUUGCUUUGACAUACUUUGAUCAUUGGAGUAGUGCUCAGCAUAUUCAUACUCAGAAGUGGAGUUAGCUUCUGCCCAAGGUGAUGGGAAGCAUGAGCAAUGGACUAAACCUGAUGUCAAUUGGAUCAAAGUGAACGUAGAGGCUGCCAUAUUCCAUCCUAAAUCUGCCUUUGGUGUAGGCUGGAUUGCUAGGAAUCACCAUGGCGAGAUCAUUGAGGCUUGGACAAAGCUUUGGCGCCAUUGGAGUUAAGGAGGUCCUUAGCUGGGUUAAUAGAAACCAGCUGCAUAAUGUCUGCAUUGAAAUAGAUUGCCAAGUAGUAGUCCACGCUAUUCAUAGUUCCAUGGCUUUACUGUCUCCGUUUGGCUCUCUCACUAAGGAUUGUUCAAUUUUACUUUCUCAUUGUAACUAUGUAAAUGUUCAUUUUGUGAAACGUUCUGUCAACAAGGUUGCUCAUUUUCUUACUAAGAGCUCUUGUGUUAAUCCAGGGCGUGUGUAUAGUGGAGUGCAAGUUCCUCAUAAUUUGUUCAUUCUUGUUCAGGUUGA